rnacentral:tRNA from 1 species
GCCUGGGUGGCUCAGUCGGUUGAGCAUCUGACUUCGGCUCAGGUCAUGAUCUCACGGUCUGUGAGUUUGAGCCCCGCAUCGGGCU